UGCGGGCCCCUUCGCAUGACGGAGCGGUGAACCUGGUCAGGUCGGGAACGAAGCAGCCAUAGUCGUUAUCCGGCAGUGCCGAAGCCAGGCCCGCCCUU
rnacentral:SRP_RNA from 1 species